rnacentral:lncRNA from 1 species
AGGCGCAAAAUCUGAUAGAGGAGAUGGCCAUGAAUAACUACCAGUGGCAAUCCUCUAGGAGUCAGCCAGUCAAGUAGGGAGUAGUCAACUAACUAGACUCCACAGUAGCCUUGGCAGCUCAAGUGGAGCUUCUGACUAAGAAAUUAGACCAGCUUCAGAUGCCGGUUCAUGUAGUCCAGAUAAGCUGCGAGUUUUACGGUGGCUCGCACUACGGUGCAAACUGUAAUGCAGGAGGUAUGUUUGCU